UACAGAGACUGCAAGCGUUAUUCGGAUUCACUGGGCGUAAAGGGUGCGCAGGCGGCCAUGUGUGUUAGGCGUGAAAGCCCGAGGCUUAACCUCGGAAUUGCACCUAAAACUACAUGGCUAGAGCAUUGGAGAGGGUAGUGGAAUUCAUGGUGUAGCAGUGAAAUGCGUAGAUAUCAUGAGGAACACCAGUGGCGAAGGCGACUACCUGGACAAUUGCUGACGCUCAGGCACGAAAGCGUGGGGAGCAAAAGGG
rnacentral:rRNA from 1 species